UGGGCUGGUCGAAAGACCCGGGUCCAUCAGCGGAUGGGGGGGUUCUGC
rnacentral:ncRNA from 12 species